CAUUAUCGAUAAACUUUGAGCAGGCUGCUGCUGGCCUUCAGAGGCAUGUGCACGCUUCUCAUAUUUUUAUUUUUCCAACUGUGCACUUAUUGUAGACCCCCUUGGGGUGUCUAUGUUCUUUUUUGUAAACCACCUUUGAAUAACUUGGAGAUGAUGAUAAAUAAUAUAACAACUUUCAGCAAUGGAUCUCUUGGCUCUCGCAUCGAUGAAGAACGCAGCGAAAUGCGAUAAGUAAUGUGAAUUGCAGAAUUCAGUGAAUCAUCGAAUCUUUGAACGCAUCUUGCGCUUCUUGGUAUUCCGAGAAGCAUGCCUGUUUGAGUGUCAUUAAAUUCUCAACUACACCAGUUAAAAUGGGUGUAGCUUGGAUUUGGGGGUUUUUGCAGGCUCUUUUUUUUUUUGCUUAGCCUUGCUUCCCUGAAAAGCAUUAGUGGUAUCUGAGCAUCCACAGAUGUUGAUAAAUCAUUUCUACAUCUUGGUGGGCUGCACAUGCUGCUUCCAACUUGGCCAUUGGGUUGAAUGAACAAUUUGACCUCAAAUCAGGUAGGACUACCCGCUGAACUUAA
rnacentral:misc_RNA from 1 species